UACGUAGGGCGCAAGCGUUAUCCGGAAUUAUGGCGUAAAGAGCUCGUAGGCGGUUUUGUCGCGUCUGCCGUCGGAAAGUCCGGGGACUCGAAACGUCCGGUAUCUGCGGUGGGAUACGGGCAGGCUAGAGGUGAUGUAGGGGGGGGGAGACGUGGAAAUUCCUGGUGUAGCGGUGAAAUGCGCAGAUAUCAGGAGGAACGACCGCAUGGCGGAAGGCAGGAUG
rnacentral:rRNA from 1 species